ensembl:miRNA gga-mir-133c gga-mir-133c
UGCCUUCCUGGGGCUGGUAAAAAGGAACCAGAUCAACUACAACUGGAUUUGGUCCCCUUCAACCAGCUGCAGUGGGGCA